rnacentral:rRNA from 1 species
UGAACGCUGGCGGCAGGCCUAACACAUGCAAGUCGAGCGGUAGCACAGAGAGCUUGCUCUCGGGUGACGAGCGGCGGACGGGUGAGUAAUGUCUGGGAAACUGCCUGAUGGAGGGGGAUAACUACUGGAAACGGUAGCUAAUACCGCAUAACGUCGCAAGACCAAAGUGGGGGACCUUCGGGCCUCAUGCCAUCAGAUGUGCCCAGAUGGGAUUAGCUAGUAGGUGGGGUAACGGCUCACCUAGGCGACGAUCCCUAGCUGGUCUGAGAGGAUGACCAGCCACACUGGAACUGAGACACGGUCCAGACUCCUACGGGAGGCAGCAGUGGGGAAUAUUGCACAAUGGGCGCAAGCCUGAUGCAGCCAUGCCGCGUGUGUGAAGAAGGCCUUCGGGUUGUAAAGCACUUUCAGCGGGGAGGAAGGCGAUAAGGUUAAUAACCUUGUCGAUUGACGUUACCCGCAGAAGAAGCACCGGCUAACUCCGUGCCAGCAGCCGCGGUAAUACGGAGGGUGCAAGCGUUAAUCGGAAUUACUGGGCGUAAAGCGCACGCAGGCGGUCUGUCAAGUCGGAUGUGAAAUCCCCGGGCUCAACCUGGGAACUGCAUUCGAAACUGGCAGGCUAGAGUCUUGUAGAGGGGGGUAGAAUUCCAGGUGUAGCGGUGAAAUGCGUAGAGAUCUGGAGGAAUACCGGUGGCGAAGGCGGCCCCCUGGACAAAGACUGACGCUCAGGUGCGAAAGCGUGGGGAGCAAACAGGAUUAGAUACCCUGGUAGUCCACGCCGUAAACGAUGUCGAUUUGGAGGUUGUGCCCUUGAGGCGUGGCUUCCGGAGCUAACGCGUUAAAUCGACCGCCUGGGGAGUACGGCCGCAAGGUUAAAACUCAAAUGAAUUGACGGGGGCCCGCACAAGCGGUGGAGCAUGUGGUUUAAUUCGAUGCAACGCGAAGAACCUUACCUGGUCUUGACAUCCACAGAACUUAGCAGAGAUGCUUUGGUGCCUUCGGGAACUGUGAGACAGGUGCUGCAUGGCUGUCGUCAGCUCGUGUUGUGAA